GGGUUGUGAGGUUAAGCGACUAAGCGUACACGGUGGAUGCCCUGGCAGUCAGAGGCGAUGAAGGACGUGCUAAUCUGCGAUAAGCGUCGGUAAGGUGAUAUGAACCGUUAUAACCGGCGAUUUCCGAAUGGGGAAACCCAGUGUGUUUCGACACACUAUCAUUAACUGAAUCCAUAGGUUAAUGAGGCGAACCGGGGGAACUGAAACAUCUAAGUACCCCGAGGAAAAGAAAUCAACCGAGAUUCCCCCAGUAGCGGCGAGCGAACGGGGAGCAGCCCAGAGCCUGAAUCAGUGUGUGUGUUAGUGGAAGCGUCUGGAAAGGCGCGCGAUACAGGGUGACAGCCCCGUACACAAAAAUGCACAUAUUGUGAGCUCGAUGAGUAGGGCGGGACACGUGGUAUCCUGUCUGAAUAUGGGGGGACCAUCCUCCAAGGCUAAAUACUCCUGACUGACCGAUAGUGAACCAGUACCGUGAGGGAAAGGCGAAAAGAACCCCGGCGAGGGGAGUGAAAAAGAACCUGAAACCGUGUACGUACAAGCAGUGGGAGCACGCUUCGGCGUGUGACUGCGUACCUUUUGUAUAAUGGGUCAGCGACUUAUAUUCUGUAGCAAGGUUAACCGAAUAGGGGAGCCGAAGGGAAACCGAGUCUUAACUGGGCGUUAAGUUGCAGGGUAUAGACCCGAAACCCGGUGAUCUAGCCAUGGGCAGGUUGAAGGUUGGGUAACACUAACUGGAGGACCGAACCGACUAAUGUUGAAAAAUUAGCGGAUGACUUGUGGCUGGGGGUGAAAGGCCAAUCAAACCGGGAGAUAGCUGGUUCUCCCCGAAAGCUAUUUAGGUAGCGCCUCGUGAAUUCAUCUCCGGGGGUAGAGCACUGUUUCGGCAAGGGGGUCAUCCCGACUUACCAACCCGAUGCAAACUGCGAAUACCGGAGAAUGUUAUCACGGGAGACACACGGCGGGUGCUAACGUCCGUCGUGAAGAGGGAAACAACCCAGACCGCCAGCUAAGGUCCCAAAGUCAUGGUUAAGUGGGAAACGAUGUGGGAAGGCCCAGACAGCCAGGAUGUUGGCUUAGAAGCAGCCAUCAUUUAAAGAAAGCGUAAUAGCUCACUGGUCGAGUCGGCCUGCGCGGAAGAUGUAACGGGGCUAAACCAUGCACCGAAGCUGCGGCAGCGACGCUUAUGCGUUGUUGGGUAGGGGAGCGUUCUGUAAGCCUGCGAAGGUGUGCUGUGAGGCAUGCUGGAGGUAUCAGAAGUGCGAAUGCUGACAUAAGUAACGAUAAAGCGGGUGAAAAGCCCGCUCGCCGGAAGACCAAGGGUUCCUGUCCAACGUUAAUCGGGGCAGGGUGAGUCGACCCCUAAGGCGAGGCCGAAAGGCGUAGUCGAUGGGAAACAGGUUAAUAUUCCUGUACUUGGUGUUACUGCGAAGGGGGGACGGAGAAGGCUAUGUUGGCCGGGCGACGGUUGUCCCGGUUUAAGCGUGUAGGCUGGUUUUCCAGGCAAAUCCGGAAAAUCAAGGCUGAGGCGUGAUGACGAGGCACUACGGUGCUGAAGCAACAAAUGCCCUGCUUCCAGGAAAAGCCUCUAAGCAUCAGGUAACAUCAAAUCGUACCCCAAACCGACACAGGUGGUCAGGUAGAGAAUACCAAGGCGCUUGAGAGAACUCGGGUGAAGGAACUAGGCAAAAUGGUGCCGUAACUUCGGGAGAAGGCACGCUGAUAUGUAGGUGAGGUCCCUCGCGGAUGGAGCUGAAAUCAGUCGAAGAUACCAGCUGGCUGCAACUGUUUAUUAAAAACACAGCACUGUGCAAACACGAAAGUGGACGUAUACGGUGUGACGCCUGCCCGGUGCCGGAAGGUUAAUUGAUGGGGUCAGCGCAAGCGAAGCUCUUGAUCGAAGCCCCGGUAAACGGCGGCCGUAACUAUAACGGUCCUAAGGUAGCGAAAUUCCUUGUCGGGUAAGUUCCGACCUGCACGAAUGGCGUAAUGAUGGCCAGGCUGUCUCCACCCGAGACUCAGUGAAAUUGAACUCGCUGUGAAGAUGCAGUGUACCCGCGGCAAGACGGAAAGACCCCGUGAACCUUUACUAUAGCUUGACACUGAACAUUGAGCCUUGAUGUGUAGGAUAGGUGGGAGGCUUUGAAGUGUGGACGCCAGUCUGCAUGGAGCCGACCUUGAAAUACCACCCUUUAAUGUUUGAUGUUCUAACGUUGACCCGUAAUCCGGGUUGCGGACAGUGUCUGGUGGGUAGUUUGACUGGGGCGGUCUCCUCCUAAAGAGUAACGGAGGAGCACGAAGGUUGGCUAAUCCUGGUCGGACAUCAGGAGGUUAGUGCAAUGGCAUAAGCCAGCUUGACUGCGAGCGUGACGGCGCGAGCAGGUGCGAAAGCAGGUCAUAGUGAUCCGGUGGUUCUGAAUGGAAGGGCCAUCGCUCAACGGAUAAAAGGUACUCCGGGGAUAACAGGCUGAUACCGCCCAAGAGUUCAUAUCGACGGCGGUGUUUGGCACCUCGAUGUCGGCUCAUCACAUCCUGGGGCUGAAGUAGGUCCCAAGGGUAUGGCUGUUCGCCAUUUAAAGUGGUACGCGAGCUGGGUUUAGAACGUCGUGAGACAGUUCGGUCCCUAUCUGCCGUGGGCGCUGGAGAACUGAGGGGGGCUGCUCCUAGUACGAGAGGACCGGAGUGGACGCAUCACUGGUGUUCGGGUUGUCAUGCCAAUGGCACUGCCCGGUAGCUAAAUGCGGAAGAGAUAAGUGCUGAAAGCAUCUAAGCACGAAACUUGCCCCGAGAUGAGUUCUCCCUGACUCCUUGAGAGUCCUGAAGGAACGUUGAAGACGACGACGUUGAUAGGCCGGGUGUGUAAGCGCAGCGAUGCGUUGAGCUAACCGGUACUAAUGAACCGUGAGGCUUAACCUUACAACGCCGAAGCUGUU
rnacentral:rRNA from 1 species